rnacentral:rRNA from 1 species
AGCCAUUAGAAAAACAAGUACUAAAGGUAACACCUGCCCAGUGAGAAACUUUCUUAAACGGCCGCGACCAAACGUGCGAAGGUAGCGCAAUCACUUGUUCCAUAAAUUGGGACCCGUAUGAACGGUCUCAUGAAAGAGAAACUGUCUCUUGAAGAAGGCCAGUGAAACUGAUCUGCCUGUACAAAAGCAGGCAUUUUUAAGCAAGACAAAAAGACCCUGUGAAACUUAAAAUUAGACAUUAAACCAAUAAUGCCUAACUUUUAGUUGGGGCAACUUAAGAAAUACAAAACAUCUUUUAACCUCUUAGACCAACAAGUCUAAGCAACCAAAAACAGGACCCGGUACAACCGAUUAAUGAACCAAGCUACUCCAGGGAUAACAGCGCCAAAUUCUUUAAGAGUCCAUAUCAACAAGAAUUCUUACGACCUCGAUGUUGGAUCAGGAUACCCAAACAGUGCAAAAGCUGUUAAUGGUUCGUUUGUUCAACGAUUAAAACCCU